GUUGUUACGACCCGGCUCAGCCAGGGGAAAGGGAAGUAACAUUAAAGAAACCUAGGUGGUAAGGUUUAACAAUUUAGAGGUUUAUUGUUUGGGUUUUUGACAAAAA